UACGUAGGUGGCAAGCGUUGUCCGGAUUUACUGGGCGUAAAGGAUGUGUAGGCGGAACUGCAAGUUGGGUGUUUAAUCUACGGGCUCAACCCGUAUCAGCAUUCAAAACUGUGGUUCUUGAGUAAUGCAGAGGUAGGCGGAAUUCCCGGUGUAGCGGUGGAAUGCGUAGAUAUCGGGAGGAACACCAGUGGCGAAGGCGGCCUACUGGGCAUCAACUGACGCUGAGGCUCGAAAGCAUGGGUAGCAAACAGGAUUAGAUACCCUGGUAGUCCAUGCUGUAAACGAUGAUUACUAGGUGUGGGGAGAUUGACCCUCUCCGUGCCGCAGUUAACACAAUAAGUAAUCCACUUGGGGAGUACGACCGCAAGGUUGAA
rnacentral:rRNA from 1 species